rnacentral:lncRNA from 1 species
CGCCAGCCCCCCCUCACCGCCAUUCCGCCCCAAAACUUUCCGUUUCCCCCAUCCCACUCUCCGGGACUUCCUUGUGCCGCCCGUGCGCGCGGAGGGGGGGGAGGAGGCGUGUGCGGCGGCGGCGAGGGGGGAUUCGCAGCCUCCUGGCAGGCUGGCCGGGACCCCGGGGGAAGAGGAGUUGCACCAUGCGCGGCAAGUGAGGGAAAGUCUCCGCCAGCAGCAGCGCCGCCGCCCCCCGCAGAAGUUGGGGCUCUCCCCGCCCGCGGGAGCGGGAGCUGUGCCUUUAACGCCCGCUGCGCCGCGAGGUACCUAAGGAUAAAACUGGCCUGAAGAGAAAAUCUGGGGCAAACUGGGGACCUUGACUGUUCUUGCACCUGACCCCCUCAUCUGUCAGAUGCGGUGAUCUCCAUGGUAACUCAAACCCCCAGACUCUUGACAGCAGCCUGCGAGGAGCAGCAUUCAGCAGCUCAAGGGUCUCAGGACCAGGUAAGCCAAAAGGAAUCACCAAAUAAGAGCUCACCUCCAGUGUGCCACCUCCUAUCCUGUCAGGCUUUGCCUUGGUGAAGUCACCCAGGCAGUCAGGUCCUGCGUACACAGGUGAUGAUGGACUCCUACCAGCGUUGUCACUUAAGGCUGUGCCAGUCCAGCUCUCUUGAGCAGAGGCAUUUGACAAAAAAUCUGCAUUUGUUCGGGGUUGGUUUUUAAGAUACAGAUUAAUGAAGCAAAAAAGGAAGUACUGUACAAUUCUUUAAAUAGCUUUGGUCUUAAGUAAUUGCUGUG